rnacentral:pre_miRNA from 1 species
CUACAUCUACCCUGUAGAUCCGAAUUUGUCUAUUGUGUUCAAGGCAACAAAUUCGGUUCUAGAGAGGUUUGUGUG